CCCUUAGAUGUUCUGGGCCGCACGCGCGCUACACUGAUGCAUUCAACGAGUUUCUUCCUGGUCCGAGAGGAAUGGGUAACCUUUUGAAAGUGCAUCGUGAUAGGGAUAGACUAUUGCAAUUCUUGGUCUUCAACGAGGAAUUCCUAGUAGACGUAGUUCAUCAGACUGCAUCGAUUACGUCCCUGCCCUUUGUACACACCGCCCGUCGCUCCUACCGAUUGAAUGCUCAGGUGAGCCAUUCGGACUUUCAUCAUGCUGGUUUCCAGUUUUGAUGAAGGAAAGUCUUGCGAACCUUAUCAUUUAGAGGAAGGAGAAGUCGUAACA
rnacentral:rRNA from 1 species